rnacentral:rRNA from 1 species
AGUGAACGCUGGCGGUAGGCCUAACACAUGCCAGUCGAACGGCAGCACAGUAAGAGCUUGCUCUUACGGGUGGCGAGUGGCGGACGGGUGAGGAAUGCAUCGGAAUCUACUUUUUCGUGGGGGGUAACGUAGGGAAACUUACGCUAAUACCGCAUACGACCUACGGGUGAAAGCAGGGGAUCUUCGGACCUUGCGCGAUUGAAUGAGCCGAUGUCGGAUUAGCUAGUUGGCGGGGUAAAGGCCCACCAAGGCGACGAUCCGUAGCUGGUCUGAGAGGAUGAUCAGCCACACUGGAACUGAGACACGGUCCAGACUCCUACGGGAGGCAGCAGUGGGGAAUAUUGGACAAUGGGCGCAAGCCUGAUCCAGCCAUACCGCGUGGGUGAAGAAGGCCUUCGGGUUGUAAAGCCCUUUGUUGGGAAAGAAAAGCAGCAGGUUAAUACCCCGCUGUUCUGACGGUACCCAAAGAAUAAGCACCGGCUAACUUCGUG